GACGAACGCUGGCGGCGUGCUUAACACAUGCAAGUCGAACGGAAAGGCCCUGCUUUUGUGGGGUGCUCGAGUGGCGAACGGGUGAGUAACAAGUGAGUAACCUGCCCUUGACUUUGGGAUAACUUCAGGAAACUGGGGCUAAUACCGGAUAGGAGCUCCUGCUGCAUGGUGGGGGUUGGAAAGUUUCGGCGGGUGGGGAUGGACUCGCGGCUUAUCAGCUUGUUGGUGGGGGAGUGGCUUACCAAGGCUUUGACGGGUAGCCGGCCUGAGAGGGUGACCGGCCACAUUGGGACUGAGAUACGGCGCAGACUCCUACGGGAGGCAGCAGUGGGGAAUAUUGCACAAUGGGCGGAAGUCUGAUGCAGCAACGCCGCGUGCGGGAUGACGGCCUUCGGGUUGUAAACCGCUUUCGCCUGUGACGAAGCGUGAGUGACGGUAAUGGGUAAAGAAGCACCGGCUAACUACGUG
rnacentral:rRNA from 1 species